UGGGGAAUAUUGGACAAUGGGGGCAACCCUGAUCCAGCCAUGCCGCGUGAGUGAUGAAGGCCCUAGGGUUGUAAAGCUCUUUCAACGGUGAAGAUAAUGACGGUAACCGUAGAAGAAGCCCCGGCUAACUUCGUGCCAGCAGCCGCGGUAAUACGAAGGGGGCUAGCGUUGUUCGGAUUUACUGGGCGUAAAGCGCACGUAGGCGGAUCGUUAAGUGAGGGGUGAAAUCCCGGGGCUCAACCCCGGAACUGCCUCUCAUACUGGCGAUCUGGAGUUCGAGAGAGGUGAGUGGAAUUCCGAGUGUAGAGGUGAAAUUCGUAGAUAUUCGGAGGAACACCAGUGGCGAAGGCGGCUCACUGGCUCGAUACUGACGCUGAGGUGCGAAAGCGUGGGGAGCAAACAGGAUUAGAUACCCCCGUAGUCC
rnacentral:rRNA from 1 species